rnacentral:rRNA from 1 species
UACGUAGGGUGCGAGCGUUAAUCGGAAUUACUGGGCGUAAAGCGAGCGCAGGCGGUUCUGUAAGUCAGAUGUGAAAUCCCCGGGCUCAACCUGGGAACUGCGUUUGAAACUACAGGGCUAGAGUAUGGGAGAGGGGGGUAGAAUUCCACGUGUAGCAGUGAAAUGCGUAGAGAUGUGGAGGAAUACCAAUGGCGAAGGCAGCCCCCUGGCCUAAUACUGACGCUCAUGCUCGAAAGCGUGGGGAGCAAACAGGAUUAGAUACCCCGUAGUCC